rnacentral:rRNA from 1 species
CGGUAUGAUUUAUGAUUGGGGUGAAGUCGUAACAAGGUAGCUGUAGGUGAACCUGCAGAAGGAUCA